rnacentral:rRNA from 1 species
UACGGAGGAUCCAAGCGUUAUCCGGAAUCAUUGGGUUUAAAGGGUCCGUGGGCGGUUUAGUAAGUCAGUGGUGAAAGCCCAUCGCUCAACGGUGGAACGGCCAUUGAUACUGCUAGACUUGAAUUAUUAGGAAGUAACUAGAAUAUGUAGUGUAGCGGUGAAAUGCUUAGAGAUUACAUGGAAUACCAAUUGCGAAGGCAGGUUACUACUAAUGGAUUGACGCUGAUGGACGAAAGCGUGGGUAGCGAACAGG